rnacentral:rRNA from 1 species
UCAAAUUGACACCGUAACUUCGGAAGAAGGUGUGCCUUUAGUAGGUGAUCCAUUUACUUGGUGAGCCCAAUGAGGCCGCAGAGAAUCGGUGGCUGCAACUGUUUAUUAAAAACACAGCACUCAGCAAAGACGGAAGUCGACGUAUAGGGUGUGACGCCUGCCCGGUGCUGGAAGAUUAAAUGAUGGGGUGCAAGCUCUUGACUGAAGUCCCAGUAAACGGCGGCCGUAACUAUAACGGUCCUAAGGUAGCGAAAUUCCUUGUCGGGUAAGUUCCGACCUGCACGAAUGGCGUAAUGAUGGCCACACUGUCUCCUCCAGAGACUCAGCGAAGUUGAAAUGUUUGUGAUGAUGCAAUCUCCCCGCGGAAAGACGGAAAGACCCCAUGAACCUUUACUGUAGCUUUACAUUGGACUUUGAACAGAUCUGUGUAGGAUAGGUGGGAGGCUUUGAAGCGGCGCCGCUAGGUGUCGUGGAGCCAACGUUGAAAUACCACCCUGGUGUGUUUGAGGUUCUAACCUUGGCCCGUUAUCCGGGUUGGGGACAGUGUAUGGUGGGCAGUUUGACUGGGGCGGUCUCCUCCCAAAGCGUAACGGAGGAGUUCGAAGGUACGCUAGGCACGGUCGGAAAUCGUGCUGAUAGUGCAUUGGCAUAAGCGUGCUUGACUGCGAGACUGACAAGUCGAGCAGGUACGAAAGUAGGACAAAGUGAUCCGGUGGUUCUGUAUGGAAGGGCCAUCGCUCAACGGAUAAAAGGUACUCUGGGGAUAACAGGCUGAUACCGCCCAAGAGUUCAUAUCGACGGCGGUGUUAGGCACCUCGAUGUCGGCUCAUCUCAUCCUGGGGCUGUAGCCGGUCCCAAGGGUAUGGCUGUUCGCCAUUUAAAGAGGUACGUGAGCUGGGUUUAAAACGUCGUGAGACAGUUUGGUCCCUAUCUUCCGUGGGCGCUGCAAGAUUGAAAGAGCCUGCUCCUAGUACGAGAGGACCGGAGUGGACGCACCUCUGGUGUAUCGGUUGUCACGCCAGUGGCAUUGCCGAGUAGCUAUGUGCGGAAGAGAUAACCGCUGAAAGCAUCUAAGCGGGAAACUCGUCUUAAGAUUAGUCUUGCCGGGGCCUUGAGCCCCCUGAAGAGUCGUUCGAGACCAGGACGUUGAUAGGCUGGGUGUGGAAGCGUAGUAAUACGUUAAGCUAACCAGUACUAAUUGCUCGUGAGGCUUGACCCC